GGAUUUAUCAUAUAAAUUUUGGUUGUAAAACCUCUUAUAUAUAUAUUGGUUCUUUCCUUAGCUUCUUGUUUUCAUCUACAAAUAAUCUCUUUCUUCUUCACGAAUAAGAACAAUUCUUUCUUCAGUACCAAUUAUGGCAACGUAUACUUUCGAACAAAACGAAUACUUGGAAGAUGUCAUUGAGAGUCAGGUACAAACUUCGUUGCUA
rnacentral:lncRNA from 1 species